CGCCGCGCGCUGCAGGUUGGCGGUUGGUCCCUCCGAGGCGGCCCCAGUUUCAGUUUUUCUCAGGACGUCCUGCCUGGCCGGGGCGUGAUGCCUCUCGACCCUCGGGUGGCCAUGGGGGAACCUUGGCCAUCAGGACCCCUUGGCCAUCUUCGACCGCCUGCGUUUGGCGCUUAGCAACCAGGUAUGUUUUGACUGCAGGGCCAAAAAUCACAACUGGGCAAGCAUAAACCUACGGGAUGUUUCUUUUCAUCAAUUGCUCAGGGUCACUUUGUGUUCACUGGAGUUUUAUCUGGUGUGUUGAUGGCCACAUGGAGAUGAGAGACAGUUCCUUUGGUAGCAGGGAUGACAGUGCUGGUUCCUACUGGAAUAAGGAAAGCAGUCGAGACACCUAGACCACGGUUAAAAGCACAGGCUCUUCAGACAUCUGUGAGCUGCAGAACCAGAAAGCCAGAACUACAGGCUGGAGUGCCUUCUGUACCCUCUUUUCCAGCACUCACUUCACACCCAGAGUGGCUGACAGGUGGUCAUCAAUGUGUAGAAGGCAGGUGGAGCCAGGACAUAAUUGGGCCAGCCUUGCAGGUCUGUUGCUAUCUGGGCUACAGUCAGGCAGGGCCUCGCGGAAGCCAUCAGCUGCUUUGAUAUUCUGUUCCAGCUCUCGGUAAAUGGUUUUGUAGCUAAAUCACAGAUAGAAAGACAACUCUGUAAAAGGCAGGGCCCAGCCACCAUUCCUCACAGCCAUAGCAGGCCCUGUCACCUGCAUGAGAGUCUCUGCAGCCUGCAGUUUCCCAGACACAGGUCAGGGACGCCAUUCCCUGGUGUCACAGGUACAGAUGCAGACAACAUCCUCUAGAACCCGGGACCCACCCAGAUAAGCUUCGUAUCAAACCAGGUGGCACACCGAGAUUUGCCCUGCUGCAUCAAAUCCUGGGUGCUCUGGGUGCAGAUGUGCACACACACACACCUCCGCGCCCCCUGACACACACACACACACACACACACACACACACACACCGUCAGGUCACGUUGAGGGUGUCAGAGUGCCACCGCAGCCGCGCCUCCGAGUCCGCUUCUCUCAGGAGAGCUGGAGGUUUCCCUCCCCACGGGAAAGGUAGUAUGGGAGGAAGACAGAACCACGAGACCCAGUCCUGCCUCCUACGACCAAGGACACGGGUCUAGGCUGGACCUGAUAGAUCAGUUAUCAUCCACAUAGGCAGUUCUCUCUUUCUGAGCCUCAGUUUCCUUCUCUGCUGAGUGGCCAUAAUACCUAUUCUAUCUAAGGACUGACUUGUGUUCUCCAAAUACAAGAGCUGAAGUCCUAACCUCAGGAUGUGACCUUUUCUGAAAACAGGGUCUUUUGGAGGUGGACAACUUAAAACAGGUUCAGUAAAAUGGCCCCGGUGCAGCAGGGCUGCUGUCCUUAGAAAGAAGAAGAAAUCUACCCUAGAUACUCAGGGAAAGAUGGCCAGAGGACUGGAGAGAAGGGUCAGAUGUCCAGAGAGCUGAGGACUGUGGCAGACCCACAAGCCAGGAGAGGUAGAAGGACCUGGAGCCUUCGGUGGGGAGUGUGGCCACACCUCGGUUUUUGACUUCUGUCUUCUAGAACUGAGUAAUGAGCUUCCCUUGUUGCCUGCCAUGCCACCCAGAUUCUGUCACAGCAGCCCUAGGAGCGACUGCACCAUGUACCCCAGAGGUGACUUGGGACACAGAGACGGGCUGUGCUGAUUCAGGCCUUUGCCAGAGCCAAGUACAAACCGUGGAAGGUGCCUCAUACACAGAAGAGCAGGACACAGUCCCAGCCCCGUCCCUUUCCUGUCCCCUAAAAGCUGUGUAGCAGCUCAGUUUCCUCAUCAGCAAGAUGGGGACAGUUCUGCCUACUUUCCAGGCUGUCUCAGAGAUGAAAUGACAGCAGAGCCCCUGUGCAGUGGCUGCUUUCCAUCUUUUUAGAGGAGACAGAAGGGAUGUCGCUUUCUACUGACAACAAGCUUUGACCUGACAUUCAUUUCUCAAGGCUUCUGCCGGAUGGAUGAAGGAAGUGGAUUUCUAUCUCUGUCCUGUUAUCUGGCUCUCUCCUGAUGCAGGCACACUGUGUCACAAGUCAAACUGGAGUGUGUCUUGCUGUCUGGCCUCCCCGGGACUACAGUCACUAAGAUAUCAAUGGUCAAGCUGGCAGCAGGGAUGAGAUGACCUCUACAAGGGACUGUCCUUGGGGCAGAAGACAUGAGGCCUGGCCAGUGCUGCACUGGUGCAGGUGGAUUUCCAGAAGGCCAGGUCUGGCUGGUCCUCGCUGUGGCACCAGAACAGACACCUUCCCUUCCUGUCCAGACCCAUUUGGAGCUGGCAGCUUCGAGCCUUCCAUGGCUGUGCUGGAUGCUGGCUCUGGGAACAGGAGCUCAUGGGAAUCCAAGGCUGCAUGCAACACCCGAGUCUGUUCAAUCCCGGCCUCCCUGUGACUCACACUGAUGGGGUUUUUGCCUCAGGGAAACUUACCUAGCCACAUUGGACAGGUCCAAGUGCUUCUGAACCUCCAGCAGAACCUCCCGGAAGAAGCGCAGGCGCUUCUCUUCAAACUGCUGGCACUGCUCGAACACCUGCUCCAUGUUCUCCAUGUACUGGGGUGUGGUCUGAUCAAGUUCCUUCAGGGCCUUCUCAUACUUGUCCUUGGUCUGUGUUAAAAUCGGCACAGACAGAGGUUUGUCUCCAUCCCACCUCUGUACAACCCAUGUGCCCCACUGCUUCUCAGGCCUCCCCGAGCCCAAAUGUGGGAGCAGAAGUCCUGGAGCCUAGCAUUCUCCAAGUCCAGUCCAGUUCCUGUGCUUCUCCAUGGCAAGUCACUCUAUGCCUGCUCUGCCUCUCACUGGAGCAAGACCAAACAGGUAGAUAUAGGUGAGAGAUGGUUACACUGGCACUGAGUGUCCUGGAUCCCAAGUCUACAUCUAUGUCGGUGGCAUAGUUGUGAGCAUAGCUGCCUUUGUUCUUUGUUCACUGCACGCCUGUGUUCAUUUUGUCAGCGGGAAGGGCUGUGUUGUGCACCACUCUAGCCUAGCUCUGGCCCUAGCAGCUUGGCCUAUGAGGUACCUUAGAGAUAAGUCAUUGUCCUAAGGACAAAUGGUCCUGAGCCUCAUUUUCAUUAUCAGAAAAUGAGGACACUUUCUACUUCAUAGUAUUUUGAGACUUAAGUAACCCACACAAAGCUACAUGGAUUAGACAUUCCUCGUCUGUCCAUGCAGCCUCUUUGUCAAGGAUAUCUGGAGGAAGGGCAUUUAGGUAAAAGGAUAGAUUAAGAGCAGUGUGGUCCAGCUUAAGCAGGUCUCCGGACAGAAUGUAUUAAGACCCUAGGAUGUGGUGAAAGUGAACACUUGACAGGUGUGCUCAGGCUCAGAGACCACACUCACCCAGGCUUGUGUACCCUGCCCUCCAUACCAUGCUAAUCGAUUGCUUUUGUGAUUCCAGACAGUUUGGUUUGCUGACAGGAGCUUCCUGGGAGUAGGGGGGCAGCUGGGUUCUGGGAAUACCUUUUUAUUGCAGAGCUUUCCAUACUGUCUCUAACAACUGAAGGGUGUUCAAGGAUGCACGUGACAAGUCCAUGGUACUCUUCCUAAAGCCGGUACUAAGCCAGUGUUCAGCACACCUCACCAGCCUGUGAUUGACCUUCAGAGUGUCCAUUGGCACAUGGCCACUUCCAUCUGUAGCCUCAGGUGGAGGUAUGACUCACUCUUCCUUGGCCUCUGGAGCUGGCAAGCCUUUCCUGUUUGUACAUCAUAUGGUACACUCUGCUGCUUCUGCCUGCAAGUAGAGUGGGUGCUAAUGGCCACAUUGCUCCAAGUGGCCUUCAUGCAGAAGACUCACAUUUUCAGAUUCUUUUCUGAGGACUCUGGGCUUUCUGAAAGCUCGGCACCACUUUAUUUCCUCAAAACCUCCCGUGUGUGUGUGUGUGUGUGUGUGUGUACGUGCACGUGUACUAUCAAGAUGAGGAAGCAGGUACAAACUGUAGGUAAACUAUCACUGCAAGUAGUCAUCAGAAAAGAACCUCACUUAGUCACUCUUGAUGGCUAAUUUCCUGAUUUAUACUAUAAUUCUGCUUUUGAAUAGUUUCCUUGCUACUUAAAAAGCCAAGGACCUCACUCCACAGGUACUUGCCAAGUCACUGUCCACCUGCCAGACACUCCUGGGGGUGGCUAGCCUGUCCCUUGUUGCUGUACAGGCCAGUGUAGCCUCCCAUGCUCACCCUGGGUUGCCAGACAGCAAGCCUCCCUGCCUUUGUUACCGCCAGAGACCAAUCAGCAGACUGAGAUUCUCUGUGCACAACUCCAGGCCAGGGACUGACAGAGCAGCUGGUAGGUUAGAGAGUGGUGCCAGCUAGCAAAAUGCAGGGCUAAGCAUGCCUGACAUCGCAUGUUGACUUAGGGGACAAGGACAGCUUCCCAGAGUUGGUGACAUUGAACUAAAGGCUGCUUUCAUGUCAUCACAUGAAAGAAUAUUACUCCCCAAUUGUUCUUGCUUUCUGAGCACCAUGCUUACGUUUCAGCCUCUAAAUGUUGCCUAUUCCCUAGCAAGUAGGAAUAACUGUCCCCAUUUCACAGAUGAGGAAACUGAAGCUGAAGUCAGUCACUGCAUCUGCCAGAGUCCUACAGCUCAGUAGCUGUGCUGGAGCUGAAAGUAGCUCUUUGUACAGUUCCUGGUAGGGACAGUCUCGAUAGCAAAACCUGAUUCUUACCUGCUUUGUCAAGAGUAUAUUGAGUAUUGACUGCCUUUUUCCACAUUUAAGUUAGGAAUUUUUAAAAACGAGAAUGCCAUUGGCUAAUUUAGGAUGGAAAUCAAAAUACUCAGUGUUUCAUCCUUUGAGCUGUGGACUUUCCAGGGUACAGGCAUUAACACUGAAGGUCUCCCAGGAAAGAAAAAGGGUCUGUUCUCAUCUUUUUCCUCCCAUGUUCUUCACAGUAUUAGCCAACAAUUUUUGUUUGUUUGCCUGGGUGGCCAUCCAGUCUGUCUCUCUGCUUUGUUCUUCAUCCAAGGCAGCAAUUCAGAACUGCUAACAAGACCAAACCUACACUUUGACAUUUUUUAAUUUUAUUUGCAUUGAGCAAAAGACCCCCCAACCAUUUGCUGACAUUUUUGAUGACCACAAAGGGAUUCUUAGAGGGCCUGAAGAAGAGGAGGACCAGCCCUGGUGAUAGUUGGUGCAAUUUGCCUUGUGGCUGCCUGAACCUUAGCUUUGAUUUCAGCCAGUAGGCUCUUCCUUGACCCUACUCACCAGAAUGCAACCCUCUCUGCUUGUCUGUCCUGUAUUCUGGAGUAUUCACCAGCUGUCACUGGCUUAAUCUCCCCUUUGGACUGCAGCUUGGCUGCAGCACUAACAGUCUAUACGCUUUGUCUUUUUGUUGUGCUCAUUCGGUACUCUAGUCCAGCAGACUCUGGCUUCUGAAAUUUUCAUUUGAACUGCUCUGGUGGCUCAUGCCUGCAAUCCUAGCACUUAGGAGGCGGAAGUAGCAUUGCCAGGUUGAGACCAACCUGAGCUACAUAGUGAGUUCCAGACCAGCUUGGGCUACAAAGUGAUACCCUGUCUCCAGACAUACAAAGAAGAAAAAGGGAAGGAAGAGACUUUGGGUAGGACUGCCACUCAUACUGUACCGUGCUUUGUCCGUGUCCAAACCCCGCUAACACUCAGUUUUUGCUUCUGAUAUCUGAUUUGGUGGGGCUUUGUUUUGUGAGCACCUAUAAUUCCAGUUCUCACACCCUGUCUGCAGUCCCAUCCUAGCACUUCCAGGGAUGCCAUGAAAAGCAGCUCUGAGCCCUGAGGUUCUAGUUGCUUCUCAUGUUCACAAGUUACUACUUUUUUGGUCUCCUGGUUAAAGGGUAGGCCCGGGAAUCACCCCAUGGAUGUCUGGGUGCUGAGGUUCAUUUAGACCCAAGAGGUUCAAGAAAAAGAACUUGAUGCAAUGCCUGACAUCAGUAUAACUUAGAUUAGAAGGCCAGUUGGCUGGACAGUGGGUCUGCAUUUUCUUGAAGGGAGGAAAAGAGACUUCUUUAUCUACUUUUAUGAAAUCAUACCAGGACCCUCAUCUGAGAGACUCCUAACUAAGCCCCUAGGCCUACAGACCCUGUGAUCCAGACAGCUGAGGGAAGACACAAAAGUUUCAGGGAGGACCUCAGACCCUGGGCAGCGGGGAGAAAAGAUAGAUAAAAGCCAGUACCUUGUGGCAACCACCUCAAAGUAACCUCAAAAUUCAAUAAUAUGCCCCAAAAUUGAUCUAACAAGAACCAAGGCACCUGACUGAGAGCCAGUGCAUAUUUGGCCAAAAGGAAUGGUACUAGGAAAUGACUGCUUUGUAAAGGGCUAGCCAGACAGCAGCCCCAGCCCAAGAGCAACCAUGUUUAGUUCCUGGGUCAAGGGAGCAUUAUCAGUGAAACUGUGUGACACUUGUGGCCAGUUGUUACUGUUAUCCCAUACCUUGUGGUCUUAGGGUUUGGCUAUAAAAUGUCACCCAAAAGCUCUGAGAGGUGGAAGGUUCCUCAGCUAGUGAUACUGUUGAGGAAUGAUUGGAUCCUAAGAGUGGUGACGUCAGGGGAUUAGUCUGUUAAUUAUUUCAUAUUUGAAUGGGCAGUUAUACCAUGGGGCCUAUUUGCAGGAAGUGGGACACUGGAGGAGUGCCCUGCAAGGGGGGGUGGUGUAUCUUUUUCCUAACCCAGUCUCCUUUCUGUCAUGAGGUAAGCAGUCUACUUUGCCAAGUGUUCUAUGGUGUUCAGGAUUGUUUCAGGCCUACAGUGAUGAGGCCAAAGAACCAUGGACUGAAGCCAUGAGCCAAAAUAAGUCUAUUCACUUCAGUUGUAUCAAGUAUUUGGGCACAACAGUAGAUACUAACACAUAUGGCUAAUCUUUUUCUGCCUAUAUGAAUGUAAAGGUAUAUAUUAUAUAUCUACAUGUAUACUGUAUGUUUACAUAUUAUGUUGUGUACAUUGUACCAAACUGAGUUAGAAAUAAACCCUUGUUUAUCAAAGAAA